GGCUUGCAAGAUGUGGGUGGGUUUGCAUUUAAAUUCGACCCGACCCAAAAUGUCCCGACCCGACCCAUUAAUUUGUGAUAUGUAACAUAAAAUUCCCAUCAACUGCUAUUUUUCUUGCGCGCGUGUAUCACACACCCAAAAAUGGGUUCAAACAGCAAGCAGAUUGAUGAAAAACUACAAGUCAAGCCAGCACAAAAUGUCUCAUUCUGCCAAAGAAACAAGUCUGGGAAUGGGAGUUUUGUGUCUAAAUUAAGAGAUCACUUUCAUGAAUUUAUUCAUGCAUCUGUUGAUGAACACAGGAGAUGCUUGAGAAACACAAUUCAAAAGAUAUUUAAUGCAUCAAAGGUUUUUGGCAAAAACGUUGAAAGCAUAAACGAAGGUGAAAACUCAGUACAACUUCAUUCAUCUACAACAAAAUAGAACGCUUGUCUGAAUCAUCAGUAGAUUACAGGAGCAUUGUUAAGCAGGCAGGGGAACUUUGCCUGACUCGAUAUUUUUGAUGUCUUCUUGAAGUAUCUCAUAUUGCUUCUUGAUUUCCACUUCAGUUGUCCCUCCGACAAACAUGGCUAUAUUGUACCAACGGUCAGAAGUUUCCUUGUCAUAUAUUGCCAAUGCAUUUUCAAACAGUUUGUUCUUCUUGGUUGUCCAUUGUAGACUUGAGUUAGGAGAAGAAAGCAUGUUGGAUGUUUUGGAUGUCAUUGCAACAAAAAAUUUGUGGAUAAGAGGUGAACCUUUGGCAAGUUGUAACUAAAAUAGAAAGAAUGAUUGACUAUAAGAAAGAAGUGAGUGAAUGAAUGAAGAAGCAAUAGGUGGAAGACUGGGGGAUCACAAGAAACUAGAAAGCUCAUAAGGUCAAUAUUAUAUAUAGUAAAUACACUCGAUUGAAGAGAUGGUGAAAUUAAAACUAUAUAAGGUAA